rnacentral:rRNA from 1 species
GUGAGGAAUAUUGGUCAAUGGACGGAAGUCUGAACCAGCCAAGUAGCGUGCAGGAUGACGGCCCUAUGGGUUGUAAACUGCUUUUAUGCGGGGGUAAAGUGAGUGACGUGUCAUUCAUUGCAAGUACCGCAAGAAUAAGGACCGGCUAAUUCCGUGCCAGCAGCCGCGGUAAUACGGAAGGUCCUGGUGUUAUCCGGAUUUAUUGGGUUUAAAGGGAGCGUAGGCCGUCAGGCAAGCGUGUUGUGAAAUGUCGUGGCUCAACCAUGGACUUGCAGCGCGAACUGCCCGACUUGAGUGCGCAGAAAGCAGGCGGAAUUUGUGGUGUAGCGGUGAAAUGCUUAGAUAUCACGAAGAACCCCGAUUGCGAAGGCAGCCUGCUGUAGCGCUACUGACGCUGAAGCUCGAAAGUGCGGGUAUCGAACAGGAUUAGAAACCCUUGUAGUCC